rnacentral:rRNA from 1 species
UACGGAGGGUGCGAGCGUUGUUCGGAAUCACUGGGCGUAAAGCGCGUGUAGGCGGUUCUGUAAGUCUGGUGUGAAAGCCCGGGGCUUACCCCCGGAAGUGCACUGGAGACUGCAAGACUAGAGUACCGGAGAGGAAAGUGGAAUUCCUGGUGUAGCGGUGAAAUGCGUAGAUAUCAGGAGGAACAUCGGUGGCGAAGGCGGCUUUCUGGACGGAUACUGACGCUGAGACGCGAAAGCGUGGGGAGCAAACAGG